rnacentral:rRNA from 1 species
GUGACAUGAAGAGUUUGAUCCUUGCUCAGGAUUAACGCUGGCGGUAUGCAUAACACAUGCAAGUUGAACGGACUCGUUUUAUAAAAUGAGUUAGUAGCAGACGGGUGAGUAAUAUGUGAGAAUCUACGUUUAGGUGGGGGAUAACUUAUAGAAAUAUUUGCUAAUACCCCAUAAUUGUGCUAUAAAGUAAAAAUUUUUUGCCUAAACAUGAGCUUGCAUCUGAUUAGUUUGUUGGUUGGGUAAUGGCUUACCAAGACUUUGAUCAGUAGCUGAUUUGAGAGAAUGGUCAGCCACACUGGAAUUGAGAACGGAACAGACUCCUAUGGGAGGCAGCAGUGGGGAAUUUUCCGCAAUGAGUGAAAACUUGACGGAGCAAUACCGCGUGUAGGAAGAAGGCUGUAUUAGUUGUAAACUUCUUUUUUCAAAAAAGAAUAGGUGACGUUAUUUGAAGAAUAAGCAUCGGCUAAUUCCGUGCCAGCAGCCGCGGUAAUACGGGGGAUGCAAGUGUUAUCCGGAAUUAUUGGGCGUAAAGGGUCAGGAGGUGGUAUUAUGUGUUUAAUGUUAAAUGUUAAAGCUUAACUUUAUAAAGGCAUUGAAAACUGUAAUACUAGAGUAUGGUAGAGGUAAAGGGAAUUUCCAGUGUAGCGGUGAAAUGCGUAAAUAUUGGAAAGAACACCAAAGGCGAAGGCACUUUGCUAGGCCAAUACUGACAUUGAGAGACUAAAGCUAAGGUAGCAAACAGGAUUAGAUACCCUGGUAGUCUUAGCCGUAAACUAUGGAUACUAAGUUAUGAAGAUUCUGUAUUUAUAUGUGUUAGAUAUAUAUAUAGAUAUGAGGAUGCAUUUCUAAAGUUAACACGUUAAGUAUCCCGCCUGGGGAGUAUUCUUGCAAAAGUGAAACUCAAAGGAAUUGACGGGGGCCCGCACAAGCGGUGGAGCAUGUGGUUUAAUUCGAUGCAACACGAAAAACCUUACCAAGACUUGACAUGCUAGAGUAAAUGAUUAUUAUUAAUCAUGUAAUUAAAAAAUCUAGGCCACAGGUGGUGCAUGGCUGUCGUUCAGCUCGUAUCGUGAGAUGUAUGGUUUAGUCCUAUAACGAGCGCAACCCUUAUCUUUAGUUAAAUUUGUAUAUUAAAGAAACUGCUGUUGACAAAUCAGAGGAAGGAGAGGAUGACGUCAAGUCAUCAUGCCCUUUAUGUCUUGGGCUACACACGUGCUACAAUGGUUAAGACAAUUAGUUGCAAACUUGUAAAAGUGAGCUAAUCUAUAAACUUAAUCUAAGUUCGGAUUGUAGGCUGAAACUCGUCUACAUGAAGUUGGAAUCGCUAGUAAUCGCCGGUCAGCUAUACGGCGGUGAAUAUGUUCUCGGGCCUUGUACACACCGCCCGUCACACCAAGGAAGUUAGUUGUGUUUGAUAUUGUUUUUUUAACCUUUUGGGAAAUGAUAAUUAGGGCCUGGCUGGUGACCGUGGUGAAGUCGUAACAAGGUAGCCGUACUGGAAGGUGCGGCUGGA